GGGGGAUUAGUGGCGAACGGGUGAGUAAACACGUGAGUAACCUGCCAUUGACUCUGGGAUAAGCCUGGGAAACCGGGUCUAAUACUGGAUACGACCUUUCUGGCGCAUGCCAUGUUGGUGGAAAGCUUUUGUGGUUUUGGAUGGACUCGCGGCCUAUCAGCUUGUUGGUGGGGUAAUGGCCUACCAAGGCGACGACGGGUAGCCGGCCUGAGAGGGUGACCGGCCACACUGGGACUGAGACACGGCCCAGACUCCUACGGGAGGCAGCAGUGGGGAAUAUUGCACAAUGGGCGCAAGCCUGAUGCAGCGACGCCGCGUGAGGGAUGAAGGCCUUCGGGUUGUAAACCUCUUUCAGUAGGGAAGAAGCUGGCCUUUGGGUUGGUGACGGUACCUGCAGAAGAAGCGCCGGCUAACUACGUGCCAGCAGCCGCGGUAAUACGUAGGGCGCAAGCGUUAUCCGGAAUUAUUGGGCGUAAAGAGCUCGUAGGCGGUUUGUCGCGUCUGCCGUGAAAGUCCGGGGCUUAACUCCGGAUCUGCGGUGGGUACGGGCAGACUAGAGUGCAGUAGGGGAGACUGGAAUUCCUGGUGUAGCGGUGAAAUGCGCAGAUAUCAGGAGGAACACCGAUGGCGAAGGCAGGUCUCUGGGCUGUAACUGACGCUGAGGAGCGAAAGCAUGGGGAGCGAACAGGAUUAGAUACCCUGGUAGUCCAUGCCGUAAACGUUGGGCACUAGGUGUGGGGGACAUUCCACGUUUUCCGCGCCGUAGCUAACGCAUUAAGUGCCCCGCCUGGGGAGUACGGCCGCAAGGCUAAAACUCAAAGGAAUUGACGGGGGCCCGCACAAGCGGCGGAGCAUGCGGAUUAAUUCGAUGCAACGCGAAGAACCUUACCAAGGCUUGACAUGAACCGGAAUGAUGCAGAGAUGUGUCAGCCACUUGUGGCCGGUUUACAGGUGGU
rnacentral:rRNA from 1 species